rnacentral:rRNA from 1 species
UUGGAGGGCAAGUCUGGUGCCAGCAGCCGCGGUAAUUCCAGCUCCAAUAGCGUAUAUUAAAGUUGUUGCAGUUAAAAAGCUCGUAGUUGAAUUUCGGGGUUUCACCGUUGGUCAGGCUAUUGUCUGUACUGGCGUGUGGAAUUUCUACCUUCUGGGGAACUAUCAUGUUAUUAAUUUAGCGUGGUAGGAAACCAGGACCUUUACCUUGAAAAAAUUAGAGUGUUCAAAGCAGGCUUAUGUCUGAAUACAUUAGCAUGGAAUAAUAAAAUAGGACGGUGGUCCUGUUUUGUUGGUUUCUGAAUCACCGUAAUGAUUAAUAGGGAUAGUUGGGGGCAUUAGUAUUCAAUUGUCAGAGGUGAAAUUCUUGGAUUUAUUGAAGACUAACUACUGCGAAAGCAUUUGCCAAGGAUGUUUUCAUUAAUCAAGAACGAAAGUUAGGGGAUCGAAGACGAUCAGAUACCGUCGUAGUCUUAACCAUAAACUAUGCCGACUAGGGAUCGGACGAUGUUAACUUUUCUUGACUCGUUCGGCGCCUUACGGGAAACCAAAGUGUUUGGGUUC